GGCCGUUCGUUGUUCUGAAACCACCUAUAUAAAUUAGGGUUUGAGAUAAGAUCUUUUUUCAUUCCAACUAUUAAUAUCGCUUGGUUUUUCCUUCUUCCUCAGCCUUACGGUUUCUGUUUGCGGAUGAGAUUUAUCCUCCGAUGUCUUUCCUGCCGAGGAUUCUGUCCUCAGAUCUGCUCGCAUCGGUUCAACAUAUCCUCUUUGAUUUCUGAUGUUGUACUGUGAAAGGAGUAGCGUCGUUGGAUCUAUGGUUUUAAAGGCCUUUGCUGGGCAAGGAAGCAAAGAUUGGCAGGAUUCAAGUUCUUGCUGCUUUUUAAGGAUGGUCUCACCAAGGGCUGAGAUUUAUACGCUCUUCAGAUGUAAGUUGAAAAUAAACAAGGCAUCUGAUUGUGUGAGACGGCGACGUGAGAUUGAAUCGGCUGGUUUGCUUAUGAAAGGAUGUGUAAGAUGUCGGGGCAAAAAGUCCUACUGAUAAUAUUUUUUUGAAGGGGACCGUGUCCUGAUCUAUCUUUGUCGUCCGAGACCUUUGCCAUGACAGGUGCGCUUGCAUGGCAGGUCACCAAACUUAAUAAAAAUAGAACUUUUUUUGUGGUGUUUUUUGAGGGGAGAUCGCACGGGGGUUUGCCCGGGUUCUCCCUUCUGCUGUGGUGUCUCGUAUCGUGUCUUCUCUUCUUUUUUCUUCUAUUUCCCUUGCUCUCUUUCCAUUAUUUUGCAUCAUACGGGAUGGAUGUAUGAUCCAACAUCAUCACCAACGUCGGAAUAAGCUCAUGAACUCCAAGCUAUAUCACUAGCGAUUCUCAAGGCCAAGGUAUUAUUUUUCCAUAUUUUUAACACCCAAUCCGCCUUAUCUAAUUCUACUUUAAAAUCUAAUUAUAAAUUUUAUUAUCAUGCAAUUAGUUAACUUGACAAAAGUCAAUAAGUCGUAAUAAUUAGAUUUUAACAUAUUUUAAGGGUUUAAUCUUUUAUAUUAAUAAUUGAUCUUAGAUUUAAUACAUUUUUGAAAGAAGAGGUAAUUUUAUUCGAAUUUCUGUAACUAUUAAUUUAUUCCUUGCUAGUUUCUUGAAAAGAGCAUGAUUGAUUUUAAAGUUAAUUCAUUGAUAAUUGUUUAUUAAAUUGAUACCAGUUAUCUAAUCUUUGAAAUAAGUUUGAUUUAAUUUAAAGUUGAAUUAUUUGAUUUAGUAAUUAAAUUUUUAACAUAUUAGUAAUUAGCCUAAAAUGAUUUUUUGAAAUUAAUUUUUUUAUUAGAGGAUAUAACUUAAAAUCCAAUUUAAAGCAGAAUAAUUUUAAUAACAUCGGGGCUAAAUAAAAUAAUUGUAGGAAGUAGUCAGUUUUACUUGCAUCUUCAUUGUGUUAAAUUUGAUAAUUAUAUUGGGUAAACUGUCUCUAAAAUGAAGUUAAAAAGUUGCUUAACUGUGAAAUUUGCAAUAUGAUCCAUUAAUUUUUAACCCAUGGAAUAUUAGAUUAUUAGAGCAAUCAUCGUUUCAUUUAGCUGUUAUAUACAUGACAAUUAAAAGUUAAUCCUGUAUUAAUCAGAUUCUCAUGGCAGAUUUUAAUUAAUGUUAGUUUAAAAAUAUUCAUUGGAUAUUAUUAAAGAAUUUAAAAAAAUAUUAUAAGAUAUUAUUAUUAUAUAGAUAAAGGUAUUCUAAGAAAAUUUAAUUUACUGAUAAAAUUUUAUUCGAAUUUAAUUUGAACUUUUAAGAGUCGAUUUGCAUCCAAACUUGACAUUAUAAUACCAAAUUUCAUCCACACGGUUUAUUGAAUUGCAUUUUAGUCUUUAGUCUUUUAUCCUUGCAAAAGUUUGAAUGCUCUUGAAUUGCCUAUGCUUCCUUUUCGUUUAUUAUUUACAUUAUCAUGUUACUUUAUUUGAGGCGAAAUGCGUUAAUUUUGCUAUUACUUUUAUGAAACUGUAAUACUUAGGAGAAUGUCAUAUGUAGGUUGAUGCAGCAUAUGUACUUUGCUUGUAUAUUGCAUUUGGUAGUUGUUUAGGCCCUUGCACGGGCUUGUGUUUUAAUUGGCUUGAAGGUUGUGAGUACUAUCUGUGGGUCGAGUGAAGAUGUCACAGCAGUGAGGUUAAAGAUGUUGGAGGUAUUUUUUGGUUUAUACCAUAUCUAUUCUCUUUGAUUAACUCUGGAAAUCAAGAUAUGUGCGUUGAAGUGUUCGUCUCUAGUUCGGUCGACAUUCUUGAUCUAUGUUGGAAGGUGUAUGAAGCCCUCGGGAGUCGGAACUGAGCUUUGGAGGCAGUGAAUAUAGUAAUACAUGGCGUUGCAGGUCAAUUCUCUGGAGAUAUUUCAAUCAGAAUCGAAUUGUUGAAGCAUUGAAGUCGUUAUUUGAACCUCUCUUGGUUUUUUAUAUGAUGCAGAGCUAUAGUGAGAUUAGUAUUGAAGAGCUCUUGAACAAAUACCAUAAGAGGUACAUGUAGAUUGGCCGUGUAAACCAGUUCCAUUACAUAGUGAAGAUUUUUAAAGUGGACUAAGGUCCCGUGGUUUUUUCCCUUCAAGGGGUUUUCCACGUAAAUUUUGGUGUCCCCUUUUUAUGUUUAUGUUGCGCACUUAUGUCAAUAUCUUUUGCAGUUGUGAUAAUGUUACUAUAGCAGGUAUGAUAACUGUGAGCCGUUUAAUUUAUCAGUAAAUUACUCUGUUUAUUACUAUGGUGUUCUGUUUCUUCAACUGUGUAAGAUUUCUAAAAUCUAGAUUGCAGGUUGAAGGGUGGAAUAAAGGCUGAAACAGGAAUUUGGCUCUUGAUAACUAAAAUUUAGAUUGCAGGUUGAAAGGUGGAUUAAAGCUCAGAAAUUUUGUAUUUUGAAAAAUUCAUUUUAUAGCCAAUCCUGUUAUUUAAAAAUUUUAACAUUUUACGGUUUUGAUAAUGUAUACGAUAUAAAUUCAUUUUUUUAGUUUCAGAUUUAGAAUAUUUCUUAGUUUUUAAAUUUUCAUUCAUUUUUUUAAAUGAGAAUUUUAUAAAUUGAAAACGCAAGAAACAAAAAUAAAUGGAGUAUUAGUGGAUAAAUAUUUUUUUACGGCAUCUAGAAAGCAUAUGUGCAUAUGCGACUUCUAAUGUCAAAAACUUUUCGUUACUUGAGCCGAUUAGCAAGUGUUUUUUUUCCUCAAAAAGUUACAAGCAAGUUUCAUAGGCGAUUUGAGGGUGUAAAUAAUGGGGGUAGUUUUCCAAUUUACAUAUACCACGAUUAUUUAUCAAAAUGGAUGUUUUUGUACGGUUUUUGAAGGUGUAUUUGAACUUCACGAAUUGAACACUGUACAGGAAAAAUAAAAAGAAAAUCCGGACAUGGGGACGAGGAUUUGAUGAAAACAGGUUAAGUGUGUGUUAAAGAAGAUAGGCACCUUAAUCUGUGAUUUGAAAGAUCUGUAAGCUCAAAAUGGCAGAGCGCUCAAUCCUAUAAGAGGAUUGAGAGGUCGGUGGUUCAAAUCCACCCAGAUCUCCUGCCUCACGUGUAUCGGGGGAGAUGUUAAAAGAUAUGUGGUUUAAAUCUUAUCCAAAAGGAUUUGAUAUCUUUUAUAAUUUUGAUUUAAAUGAUAAAAAUGAAUUCAAAACCUGCUUUUUCCUUUGGGUGCUAAAAAAUUCAUCUCUUCAAUAUGGCAGUUGCAAGAGACGAUGGGAUGCUGCAAAAGGAUAUGAUUAACCAAAUGUGAGUGAUACAGAUGUCACCUUUGGCAGUGAGGAGAAAGCUUUCGUUCCACAAUGGGAAACAACUUACUACUAUUUGUAGUCCUUUUAAUCUUUUAUUUACUUUCAAUCCAUUUUUUAAUUAUGAAUAUGUUAUUAAAAUUGGUAUUCUUUUUUUUAAUUUAGUAAAGAAAAAUAUAUUUAUAGAA